UGAAAGGCUGAGGAGGCAAGAUGUCGGCAUAGCUGAGGGUUUUUAAAGACGGCUAUGUCUCAUCAAGCCAGCUUACGCU
rnacentral:pre_miRNA from 14 species